rnacentral:rRNA from 1 species
UGGGGGAUAUUGCACAAUGGGCGCAAGCCUGAUGCAGCGACGCCGCGCGGGGUAUGAAGGCCUUCGGGUUGUAAACUUCUUUUGCUCUGAACAAGGCGCACCUUGGGGUGUGUUGAGUGUAGGGGUUGAUUACCGCCGGCUAACUACGUGCCAGCAGCCGCGGUAAUACGCAGGGCGCGAGCGUUGUCCGGAAUUAUUGGGCGUAAAGGGCUUGUAGGUGGCUGGUUGCGUCUGUCGUGAAAGCUCAUGGCGUAACUGUGGGUUUGCGGUGGGUACGGGCUGGCUUGAGUGGAGUAGGGGAGGCUGGAAGUCCUGGUGUAGCGGUGGAAUGCGCAGAAAUCAGGAGGAAUAUCGGUGGCGAAGGCGGGUCCCUGGGCUAUUACUGAAACUGAGGAGCGAAAGCAUGGGGUGCGAACAGG